UACGGAGGAUCCGAGCGUUAUCCGGAUUUAUUGGGUUUAAAGGGUGCGCAGGCGGAAGAUUAAGUCGGCGGUGAAAUUUUGCAGCUCAACUGUAAAAAUGCCUUCGAAACUGGUUUCCUUGAGUGUAGAUGAAGUAGGCGGAAUUUGUGGUGUAGCGGUGAAAUGCUUAGAUAUCACGAGGAACUCCGAUUGCGCAGGCAGCUUACUAAACUACUACUGACGCUCAGGCACGAAGGCGUGGGGAUCAAACAGGAUUAGAUACCCGCGUAGUCCCU
rnacentral:rRNA from 1 species